AUACGUAGGGGGCGAGCGUUGUCCGGAAUUAUUGGGCGUAAAGGGUUCGUAGGCGGUUUUUUAAGUCAGAUGUGAAAGGUCACGGCUCAACCGUGGUAAGCAUUUGAAACUGAAAGACUUGAGUUAAGGAGAGGAAAGUGGAAUUCCUAGUGUAGCGGUGAAAUGCGUAGAUAUUAGGAGGAAUACCAGUGGCGAAGGCGACUUUCUGGACUUAUACUGACGCUGAGGAACGAAAGCGUGGGGAGC
rnacentral:rRNA from 1 species